rnacentral:lncRNA from 1 species
UCCCAAUGGCUGAGAACAACACAACAAAAAGCAAUGGCCAAAUAAGUGUUCAAGAUGCACAAGUGGCUGUGGUUAUGGUGCCACUUCCAGCACAAGGCCAUCUCAACCAGCUUCUCCACCUCUCGAGGCUAAUCACCUCAUAUAAUAUCCCAGUGCACUAUGUUGGAGCAACCCCUCAUAUUCGCCAGGUCAAGUUACGUGUCCAUGGUUUCGACCCUGUUACUACUAAAAACCUACAUUUUCAUGAAUUCCCUACACCACCUUUUGAAAACCCCCCUCCAAAUCCAAAUGCUUCUCAUAAAUUUCCUAAUCAUAUACUCCCUUUACUUUAUGCAACAAUCCAUUUCCGUGAGCCAGUGUGCUCUCUUGUAAACCAACUCUUAGGCGCCAAUCAUCGGAGAGUGAUUGUUAUUUAUGAUUCUCUGAUGACUUGGGUGUUGGAGGAUAUACCAGCAAUUCCAAAUGCCGAGUGCUACCGUUUUAACAGUUUCUCAGCUUUCUAUAUGUUUUCAUCCUAUUGGGAAGCCAAAGGAAAACCUUUCCAACCUGAAACUGAGAUAUUUGAGGACAUUAUAUCAAGAGAAAACUGUGCUACCCCAGAGUUAUGGGAAUUGUGGAAUAAACAAGGAUCCCUUGAAGGGAAAAUUUGCUCUGGAGAACUUUACAAUACAUCCAGAGUAAUAGAAGGUUCAUACCUUGAUUUAGUAGCCAAAGAAACUAAUGGCUUAAACCUAUGGGCUAUUGGUCCAUUCAAUCCGUUGUUGUCUGAGCAGAACAAAGACUCAAACAAACAACAUCAAACCUUGUAUUGGCUUGACAAACAAGAAACAAAUUCGGUAAUCUAUGUGUCUUUUGGAUCAACUACUACCUUGUCUAAUAAAGAAAUCAAAGAGCUCGCCAUCGGGUUAGAGAAAAGCAUGCAAAAGUUCAUUUGGGUUCUCAGAGAUGCUGACAAAGGAGAUGUUUUUGCAGGUGAAGAAAGGAGAGCUCAGCUGCCAGAAGGUUAUGAAGAAAGAAUAAAAGGAAGAGGAAUUAUUGAAAGAGAUUGGGCACCUCAGUUGGAAAUUUUGGCACAUCCUUCCACAGGUGGUUUUAUGAGUCAUUGCGGAUGGAAUUCGUGCAUGGAAAGCAUUUCCAUGGGAGUUCCUAUAGCAGCCUGGCCAAUGCAUUCAGAUCAACCAAGGAAUUCUCAGCUGGUAACAAAGGUCCUGAAAACUGGCCUAACUGUGAGGCAUUGGGCACGUCGGGAUGAAUUGGUUGCAUCAGAAAUAGUUGAAAAUGCUGUGAGAACUUUGAUGGCUUCACCUGAGGGAGAUGAGAUGAGGAAGAGAGCAUCAGAAUUAAGCAUUGCUGUCAAACAAUCAGUCAUGGAUGGGGAAGGUUACGGUGCGGAGAUGAAUUCUUUUAUCGCACACAUUACUCGAGAACUUUCUCACCAGAAUUGACCAAUUGAUAGCAUAAGUGGUUCAACCUAUGAGACUUUAUCAAUGCUCUAUCACCAUCUGAGUGGGUUCAGUGUCCCCUUUUAUGCACAUCACUGCAUGUAUGUUUAAGGAUAAAAAGCUUUUCUUUAUGAGUUCCUUAUAUUUUUUAGUAUAAAUGUAAAGGUCCUCCUUUACUAGCAACUAGUUCUUUUGGCCAGAGAUAUAAAAUAUUAGAAGCUGUUUGUGUAAUCUUUCAAGAACUUUUUGCUUGUGACUACUGAGUGAUAUACUAUGUAUUUUCCAUUCUGCCAGACUUCUCAUCUUGUUAAGUGUAAUUUACAUUAUUUUCUCAACAUUAAUACUACUCAUAUUUUGCAUCUAGACAAAUAAGGAAGAGAUACGGUAAGCUUUCUUGAGAGAUUAGAUUUGAAAUUGCAAUUUGCUCUGUUGCAAAAGGAGCUGUAAAAGGGGGAAAAUCAGAAGAGUUUGAUAUAAGGUAUCUACUUUGAUCUGUAUUUCAGAUUUAGUGGUAACUGUGGAACAUAUUCAAUUCCUUGACCAAGUAAGAUUGCUAAAGUAUUUUUGAAUCUUUUGUGUCUUACAUUCUAAAAAAAACCUAAAAUACAGGAAAUGUUAGGGGUGCGUCCUUUUUCCGCAUCUUGCUAAGGGGGAUUUUGGGGCACCGAAUUUCUCUUCCUUUAUGUUUCAGUGUGGGUUAGUUUAGUCCAUAUUUCAAAUUUGAGACCUCAAAAGAUUACCUGCUUAAUCAACUAUAGUUAUAUGUAUGCUUCAUAAGUGACAAAACAUAAAUAAUUAAUGGUGUAUGCUAUUAUUAUAUUUAACAAAAAACAACAUCGUUCGUUAUAGUACAUGAUACUUGAGUUUUCCAAAGUGAAUAGAAAAAUGGUAUAUGUGAAGCAAUAAUUAGUCAUGUGUUUCAUUUUAUGUGUUACUAGCUAGCUAUCAAAAUUGACACUUAUAGCAUUGACUAAUUUAAGUUGCAACCAAAACCCACUAUUAGUGGCAACCAUUAUAGGGAUUACCGAUGAUCAAAAUAGCAGGUAAAAACAUACUUUCAUCUGAAACUUAAAUAAGAAUAAGCAACAACUGCAUAUACCCCUAAUAUUGACAUUUAGUGGCGAGAAAUUUUGCCACAGAAACAAGAUACUAGCAACGACUAAUUUUGUCACUAAAACAUUCUUUUAUUGGCGACUAUUAUAGGUAUUAGCAACUACUUAUUUUGCCACUAAAACAUUCUUUUAUUGGCGCCUAUUAUGAGCAUUAGCGGCGAUUAUUCUUGCCACUAAAACAAACUAUUAGUGGCGACUAUUAUAUGUAUUAGCAGCGACAGCUUUUGCCACUAAAACAUUAUUUUAGUGGCCACUAGUAUAGGUAUUACAACGACUAAUUUUGCCACCAAACAUUCUUUUAGUGCCGACUAUUAUGAGUAUUAGCGGCGAUUAUUCUUUUCACUAAAACAAACUAUUAGUGGCGACUAUUAUAUGUAUUAGCAGCGACUAAGUAGUGACUUUUCCGUAAAAUUUGUGACUUUUAAGAAGGGUAAAAUAAAUAAGAAUCUUGAUUUGUGACGGCGUCGCAUAGGCAGGUCGGCUGUUGUAAACAAAUGCACGUUUAUGAAGAGUGGCAAGAGUGGUAACAAAAUGAACGGAAAAAGCAGCGGUUGAAGGCUGAAACUACGUUCCUAUUGUUGAGGGGGAAGGACAGUUUUGGAAAUAAAUAAAUAAAAAAAGAAUCCUUACUUCUAGUGGCGCGACGUCACCGGGUUGAGGGUUCUCUUUUAUAUAUAUAUAUAUAUAUUCUUUAAUUUAAUAUAAUUUUAUUUUAUUUUGAAAUUAAUGAUCUGAAACAAAUCUUAGAAAUUUGUGUAGCGAUAAAUUAUUUCAAUUAAGAAUAAAAGAAAAAAAUUAAAGUUAAAAUAUGCCUAAUUAUAGAAAGGUGACAACUUUUUUUUUGUCACGAAUUAAAAAGAAAAAUAUGUCACAUUAAUUUGAACAAAUAAAGUAUACAACAAUUUCAUUAUUUUUUAGAAAAUAAAUGAUACUAACGUUUAACUUUCUUUUUUUAAUAAAAUAAAAUAAAACGCAAAUAGUAAAGAGAUUUUGUGGAUCUCCCACCAAACGUUUUCUUCAAAGUUGAAUCAUGUAGUUGAAAAUGGAUUAUAUAAUUUAAUGUUUAUUUAUAGGUGCAUUAGAGCAUUAAGAUGAGGUAAUUAUUCGGUGUAUUUUUAAAAUCAGCUUAUUUAAAAAAAAUAAAAAAUUAUUCGGUGUAUUUUAAAAAAAUACUUUUUGGAAGUAUCAGUUUAUUUGAAUAAUCAAUUUGAAAAAUAUUUAUAUUAAAACUAAAACAAUUAGUAUUCGACCAAAAUUCUAAAAGUGUUUCGAAGGUUAAAAACUAUUUCGCUUCAAGGAAAACCAACUUCUACUUUAGAUGAAAACACAUAUAUUUUUCCCAGAAGCUUUGAUCAAACACUUCAAUUCUCUAAGUGGACUCUAAAGAAGGUGAUAUGUUUGCAGUCUUAUAACUACUAUGUGAAAGAUAGAAAUAUUGUUAUCGAUAUACCUUGACUCAAGUAAAAUAUAUAAAAAUCAAGUAUCUUGAGAACUUAUUUCUAAUAAAUCCUCGGCUCAACUCUUUAAAAUAACCACAUAUUUUAUUUUAAGAAAUUCCCGACUCAACUUUCUAAAAUAAUCAUUCUUUCUUUAGAAAAAAAACUUCUUAUUUCAUUGAAACUUGACCAGACAGACUAUAAAUUAGUAUUACCUAAUUGGUGAAGAUAUCUAGAAUUUCCUUUUGUGAUAACAUCAAAUAAUGGAGAAACUACAACAACUGCUUAAUAUGGACAAAAACUGAAAAGAAAGUCUAUAAUGUCUGCUCCCAUAACAAACAUAUUAGUAUUUUGUCCUAUGAUAGAAGAUUCUAAUAAUAAAAUAAUGAAGAUCUACAAAUUAUAUAUAUUUGGAUUUUUUUACAAUGAGGAUGAUGAUAUUUUUCUUUGGUAGCUAACAACAUAUUUGUAAAUAACAUGCCAUUAUGGUUAUUAUUCAGUGAAUUUCUCGAUAAAUAUACAAAGUUUAGACUAAAGUUAUUGAGUUUUGCUGAACAUUGCGGCAAGAACAUGGGAAAGAGUAUGUAAUCAACUCAAUAUUGACUCUCUCCAGUCUCCUUUAGCACAAAACUCAAAAGAAAAACUAAGAAGCUGCAGUCCAAACAUAUAGUAUGUUAAUAUUUGAAUUGUGAACAUACAAAAGUAUGUUUUCUACAUAAAUUCAUAGUAUAGAGAAUUGAGGGUAUAACUUUUUUCGUAACCACUUGUCGGUAGUUCUACAACACAAUAACAUAUCCAGUGUAAUCCCACUUGUCGGUGGUUUUAUUACAAAAAAAACAAAGAGAUUUGAUUGUGAUUGCAUACAGAUGCCUGUUCAUUUUGUUGAGAAGGUAUCCUAUUAAUGAUUUUAAGUUUUUUAGCAGCCCACCAGCAAGUACAAGUUGGCAUUGGACUCAUGCAUUAUAAAAGAAUCUAUGUUUUCACCUAGACUACAUGUAACUCGAGACACUUCAGAAGCUCAGAUACUCAUACAACUGCAAAAUUUCAAAACAUUUCCCAAUGGCUGAGAACUACACAACAAAAAGAAAUGGCCAAAUAAGUGUUCAAGAUGCACAAGUGGCUGUGGUUAUGGUGCCACUUUCAGCACAAGGCCAUCUCAACCAGCUUCUCCACCUCUCGAGGCUCAUCACCUCGUAUAAUAUCCCAGUCCAUUAUGUUGGAGCAACCACUCAUAUUCGCCAGGCUAAGUUUCGUGUCCAUGGUUUCGACCCUGGCACAGCUAAAAACCUAUAUUUUCAUGAAUUCCCUACACCACCUUUCGAAAAUCCUCCUCCAAAUCCUAAUGCUUCAAAUAAAUUUCCUAACCAAUUAAUCCCUUCAUUUUAUGCAACAAUCCAUCUCCGUGAGCCAGUGUGCUCUCUUGUACGCCAACUACUAGGCGUCAAUCAUCGGAGAGUGAUUGUUAUUUAUGAUUCUAUGAUGAGUUGGGUAGUAGAGGAUGUACCAGCAAUUCCAAAUGCUGAGUGCUACCGUUUUAAUAGUAUCUCAGCUUUCCAUACGUUUUCAUGCAUCUGGGAAUCCAGAGGGAAACCUUUACAAGCUGGAACUGAAAUAUUCGAGGACAUUUCAUCAAACGAAAACUGUGCUACCCCAGAGUUAUGGGAAUUAUGGAGUAAACAAAAUUCCCUUGAAGGGAAAAUUAGCUCUGGAGAACUUUACAAUUCAUCCAGAGUAAUAGAAGGUUUAUACCUUGAUUUAGUAGCCAAAGAAAUUAAUGGCUUAAACCUACGGGCUAUUGGUCCAUUCAAUCCGUUGUUGCUGACUGAGCAGGACAAUGAUUCAAAUAAACGUCACAAAACCUUGGAUUGGCUUGACAAACAAGAACCGGACUCAGUGAUAUAUGUGUCUUUUGGAACAUCUACUUCUUUGUCGAAUGAAGAAAUUGAACAACUCGCCAUUGGGUUAGAGAAAAGCCUGCAAAAGUUCAUUUGGGUUCUCAGAGAUGCUGACAAAGGAGAUGUUUUUGCAGGUGAAGAAAGGAGAGCUCGGCUGCCGGAAGGUUAUGAAGAAAGAAUAAAAGGAAGAGGAAUUAUUGCAAGAGAUUGGGCACCUCAGUUGGAAAUUUUGGCACAUCCUUCCACAGGUGGUUUUAUGAGUCAUUGCGGAUGGAAUUCGUGCAUGGAAAGCAUUUCCAUGGGAGUUCCUAUAGCAGCCUGGCCAAUGCACUCAGAUCAACCAAGGAAUUCUCAGCUGGUAACAAAGUUCCUGAAAAUUGGCCUAAAUUUGAGACAUGGGGCAUGUCAGGAUGAAUUGGUUACAUCAGAAAUGGUUGAAAAUGCUGUGAGAACUUUGAUGGCUUCACCUGAGGGAGGUGAGAUGAGGAAGAGAGCAUCAGAAUUAAGUGUUGCUGUCAAACAAUCAGUCAUGGAUGGGGAAGGUACUGGUACAGAGAUGGAUUCUUUUAUCACACACAUUACUCGAUAACUUCUCAUUUGUAUUGAACAAUUGGUUGCACACUACCAUCUAGUUAACAUAAGUGAUACAACCUAUGACACUGUAUCAAUGCUCUAUCACCAUCCGAGUGGGUUCAGUGUCCACCCUACUGGCACCCCUUUAUGCACAUCACGGCAUGUAUGUUGAGGAUAAAAACCUUUCCUUUAUGAGUUCUUUGUAUUUGUUAAUAUAAAAGUGGAUGUCCUCCCAGAUAAAUAAAAUAUUGGAUGCUGUUUGUGAAUUCUUACAAGAAUUUUGUGCUUGUGACCUGAAUAACAUAGUAUGUUCUUUCAGGACUUUUAUAGCUUCUUGUCUUUAACUCUGUGACCUUGUAUUUGAUAUUCUGCCAGACUUCUCAUGUUGGUAGGAGUAGACAAUCUUUUUAAGUGUACUUUACAAUAUUUUCUCAACAUUUAUAGAAUACUCUUUUUUGCAUCAAGACAAAUACGGAAGAGCUCUGGUAUUCUAUGAAGUUUUUCAAUUAAAAUAUGAAUCACUUUGUAACUAUACUAACUUUUAACCUUAGCAACACUUUUUCAAAUCUUACGAUGAGUGAUCCAUGAAGCUGUCAGAAAAUCAGAAGAGUUUGACACAAGGUAGCUCUGCUUGUAUCUAUUUUUAUCUGAAGAUGCUUAUUUCAGAUUUAUUAAGUGGUCAAAUUAGUGGGUGACUGAGGAAGGUCUUUGAUUCCUUGACCAACUAAGAUUGCUAAGCAUUUUUUAAUCUUUUGUGUCUUACCCUCUAAAACGAAGCUAAAUUACAGGAAAAUACUACAUAAUGAAGUCUAUUAUGACUGCUCCUUGACUAAAGUUUGCUCCAUUAUGUAAUACUCCUACUAUAUUGUCCUACGAUAAAAGAAUCUGAAGAUAGCAGUGUUUAUAAGAACCACAAAACUAAUAUUGAUAUUUCUUUGAUUCUUGCACUUGAAAUAAACAUAUAUUUGAUUUUUACAAUUAUGAUGAUGAGGAUGUAAAUUCGACUGAGAUUACAAUGACAACUAUCUCAGUAUCUUUAAUACUUACGUGGGUGUAUACUUUUUUUUUCUUCAAAUAAUAUUUUUAUGGUCUGCCUUUGCUGUUGGUUUUUCCUCCAUUUUGUAUAAAACUCAACCAGUUGCUGUUGGUUUUACUGAUAGACAACAAAGGAUUUGAUUGUGACUACUUUAAGUAAUACAUUUUGCAGCAAUAUGUCAAAUAACAGAAGUUAAAAAAUUUCAAUAUCUUUUUAACAAUUAAGCUUUCUAGCAGCCGGCCAGAUAAUUCUAGUUGUUGGAUUCAUGCAUUAGACAUAAUCCUUAUAAGAUCAUCUAUGUUUUUCUCCUACAUAUAACUCAAGGCACUUCAGAAACGGCAGACACUCAUCAAACUACAAAAUUUCUAAGCAUUUCCCAAUGGCCGAGAACUACCCCAUAAAAAGCGAUGGCAAAAAGGGUGUUCAGGAUGCACAAGUGGCAGUGGUUAUGGUGCCACUUUCAGCACAAGGCCAUCUCAACCAGCUUCUCCACCUCUCGAGGCUCAUCACCUCGUAUAAUAUCCCAGUCCAUUAUGUUGGAGCAACCACUCAUAUUCGCCAGGCUAAGUUUCGUGUCCAUGGCUUCGAUCCUGUCACAGCUAAAAAUCUAUAUUUUCAUGAAUUCCCUACACCACCUUUUGAAAAUCCCCCUCCAAAUCCUAAUGCUUCAAAUAAAUUUCCUAACCAAUUAAUCCCUUCAUUUUAUGCAACAAUCCAUCUCCGUGAGCCAGUGUGCUCUCUUGUACGCCAACUACUAGGCGUCAAUCAUCGGAGAGUGAUUGUUAUUUAUGAUUCUAUGAUGAGUUGGGUAGUAGAGGAUGUGCCAGCAAUUCCAAAUGCUGAGUGCUACUGUUUUAAUAGUAUCUCAGCUUUCCAUACGUUUUCAUGCAUCUGGGAAUCCAGAGGAAAACCUUUACAAGCUGGAACAGAAAUAUUUGAGGGCAUUUCAUCAAACAAAAACUGUGCUACCCCAGAGUUAUGGGAAUUAUGGAGGAAACAAGAAGCCCUAAUGAGGAAAGUUAGCUCCGGAGAACUUUACAAUUCAUCUAGAGUAAUUGAAGGUUUAUACCUUGAUUUAGUAGCCAAAGAAAAUGAUGGACUAAACCAAUGGGCUCUUGGUCCAUUCAAUCCGUUGUUGUCUGAGCAGAACAAAAACUCAAAUAAACACCAUCAAACCCUGUAUUGGCUUGACAAACAAGAAACAAACUCGGUAAUAUAUGUGUCUUUUGGAACAACUACUUCCUUGUCGAAUGAAGAAAUUGAAGAACUCGCUGUUGGAUUAGAGAAAAGUAUGCAAAAGUUCAUUUGGGUCCUCAGAGAUGCUGACAAAGGAGAUGUGUUUGCAGGUGAAGAAAGGAGAGCUCAAUUGCCUGAUGGUUAUGAAGAGAGGCUAAAAGGAAGAGGAAUUAUUGUAAGAGAUUGGGCACCUCAGUUGGAAAUUUUGGCACAUCCUUCCACAGGUGGUUUUAUGAGUCAUUGCGGAUGGAAUUCGUGCAUGGAAAGCAUUUCUAUGGGAGUUCCUAUAGCAGCUUGGCCAAUGCAUUCAGAUCAACCAAGGAAUUCUCAGUUAGUAACUAAGUUCCUAAAAAUCGGCCUAAUUGUGAGGCAUUGGGCAUGUCGAGAUGAAUUGGUUACAUCAGAAAUAGUUGAAAAUGCUGUAAGAACUUUGAUGGCUUCACCUGAGGGAGAUGAAAUGAGGAAGAGAGCAUCAGAAUUAAGUAAUGUUGUCAAACAAUCAGUGGUGGAUGGGGGUGUUAACCGUGAGGAGAUGGAUUCUUUUAUCACUCACAUUACUCGAUAAGUUUCCCAUCUAGAUUAAUUUCAUCAAUGGUCAUCGAACUAAGCAUUUAUUGCAUGAAAGUGUGGCUUUGAUGAAGUCAGUUAUGAAAAAUUGGUAAUUCAAUCAUAUUUAGAGGACACUAAUGUAUUUUUCUUUAUAUUUUACUUUCUUCAUUUUGUCUAUGUUCCACCAAAAUCAUAGCUUAUACUUCAACAACCAUCUUUCUCUCUCUCUCUCUGUUUCUCUCUUUGUUGUAGGGUGGCGUCUGGUUGAGUGAGGACUAAUAUAUGUGUAAUAUUAGUUAUCCGUGAAACACAUAAUUUUACUUGUAUUUUUCCUUUACUAAAAUUUUAAAGAGUUUAUUAGCAGGAUAAUAAACUACAACAACAUGGCCGGCCACUAGCUAGGCCAAUAUCCCUGUGAAUCAAAUAUGUGAGAAAUGAGGCAUUCCUCUGUUCUCCUUAACAUUAACUUCAUAGAUCCAAAAUAUACGUAUACUGUAAUAUGUAGUAACAGUUACUCCUUGUUUCAUUUCUCUACGAGGUCCAACUUGAUAUAUUUUGUUGUGAAUCAAGUCGACUUUGUACGGGCUUAUGUGUUAGAAGUAGCGAAUGAGGUUGAUUUGGAUGGGAUAAUUGGGCCGCGUAAAAUAUUAGAGAGUUUUUUUUGGGAUUCAGGCCCAAUUAUCAAUUGGUUAAAUAGGAAUAGGAGUUAGACAAAAAGGUUAUGUGUAUUAUGAAGAAACUGUCUUUUCCUCUCAUUUUCUUUCUAGAGUCUUAACUUCUCAUCCUCAUUCUUAUGUCUAUCUUUAGUUACUUGUUAUUUCAGUACUUCUCUUUGUAAAUCAAGUGUUGUUAUUAUAAUUUGGUUAUCAAUGGAUAUAAGGUUUAUGUAUCUGUAUUGAGAAUUUGGGUUUGUUUCAUAUUCGUUUUUCUUACUCACCAAAGAGCCCAAGUUCAAAUCUUGGCACAUUCUUUUGUCUUUUAUUGAUUUCUCGGUCUUCUAUGCGACUAGCCAAGUAGUCAUAUUCAUUCCUGUUGACACGAAUAGCAACGAAAGAGAAGGAAAUGACAUUUACAGAAGUUGAUUCACAGUUGAAUACUUCAAUCCCAUCAGCUAAUCUAAGCAAGAACCUGGAACUAAAGGAGGAUCUUUAUCCAGCAGUGUAAGUUCUACACUAUGGGCCUUAAUGUGCUCCAUAUCUAUCAAAUUUUCCUCGUAUACCAAACACAUCGAAUACAGGAUUGAACUGAAUCAAACUAACAAAAUUAACAAGUAACUAUGAAUGUGAUUUAGAAAUUAAGUCUAGAAGGCAGCCAUAACAUUUUGUACCUGAAAAGCAGCAGGGGAGGGUGCUUGAGCUCGAGUAUCCGGAGUUAUGGUUGUCCUGCAAUCAUUUUGGCAAUCUGGGAAUCAAUCUUUUAACUCACUAAACACCAUUUUCUCCUAGACUUCAUCCUUUUCACAAUUCUAUGUCCAUUUACUGCAUUCUUCAUAUCAAAUCAGGAGCACAAGUACUCUUUUUGGUGUUUUUUUUCUCUCAGUCAUUUUGUCAAGCACUUUGAGUGCUUUGUAAAAAAUCUUAGCAUACAAUACAAUACAAUCUCAACAAUUCUUUGCAUUCCAACAAUUUUUUCAAAUUAUCUUUUAGAAAAAAAAUUUAAACUUGAUCCAUUCAACUUAACAUUCACUAAACAUCUACGAUUUGUCUGAGGCCACUUUAAAUAUGUUUUAUUAAAUUAUGAACUUGAUAAAGACUAAACUUCAGAUAUUUUAAACUGAAGUUGUGGUAUUAACAAAGCUUCUAUAAAUAAUUAAUUUCCAUUUUAUUACAGUAUAUUUCGGGAUUUUGUGGCGGCUGUUGUCGCCGCUAAAUGUUUAGUUCUUUUGUAGUGAAUCCUAGUUGACAACGCUUAGGUGGAAGGAUUAGUCCACGUGGCUUGCCAUGUCACUAAAAAUUUGGGAUGUUAACUCUUGAGGGUAUUUGAAGUCUCUUAGGAUAACAGCAGGGACAUUUUUUAUCCGAAAAUAUAACGAAGGGUAUAAAUGGUCUAUUUCGCAUAGUUCAGGGGCAAUUUUGACCCUUUUUCGUAUUAUAUAAUAUAUAUAUAUAAAUGAAUAUGCGAUAACUUUAUCUCCAUGAAUUUAAGAAACUUUACUUGCAUUGUAUUAUGGGUCUACAAAAUAAAUAUGGGCGAAAGCUAUAAUUUUGCUUACAUAUUCAAUAUUAAAAUUUAAUAAUUUUAAAUCAAAUUAUGUAUUUAUGUUGAUAUCUCUUCUAAGUUUCGAUAUUUCAAAAAUGAUCUUUUUUUGAGAUUUGAUUAAUUUGGAUUUGCGGAGCCAUAAAAUCUCAUUUUAAAAAUAAAAUGCUCUUUCUUAAAGGCAAUUUCACAUUAAGGAUUUGAAUUCAAGACAUUUAAUUAAAGAUGAAUGAGUACCAAUUAACCAUUCCAUCACUAAUCCUUAAUCAGUUCAAAUUAUACUCUCUUCAUUUUAAUUAUUUGUUCGGUUUUAACUUGACGUAAGGUAAAGAGUUUUUUUGAAUCUCGUGAUUUUAAAUUAAAGAUACGUAGAAUGUAUCAAAAUGUUUUUAAAUCUUAUAUAAGUCAUGUAUAAAGUUAAAUUAACGAGUAUUCAGAAAAGAAAAGAUAAGUUAUUUUUUAAACAAACUAAAAUAAAAAGUAGGACAAAAAUAAAUUGAAACGAUGGAAAUAUUGUUAAUGUUGAAUACCAUUGAAUAAUGUUACAACUUACAAACAUUUAAUUUUGAUCACCGUGCAUGGACAUGCCUUCUGGAAAAUUGGAAUUAUAUCCAAAAAUAGCAAAUCACUUCCAAUUCAGGAAAUAGGUUCCCAUAACUAUUGGACUUUCUUGAAUAUAUAUAAAUAAUUUUGUCUUUCAAUGAUUGGUGUUAUUGAAUACUCCUAUAAUAUAGUUUUUUAUUCGAUGUUCGGUACUAAGCCCGACUAAAUUUGAAUUGACGUCGAGAAAAUGCUUUCUAUCAAAGGCAGUCGAUUCCAUAUCCAAGAAGACUCGAAUCUGAAACAUUUGAUUAAGAAUGAAUGAGUACUUAUUAUUUUAUCAGAACGACACAACCCUUGUUGGUAUAAUUUAGUUAUUAUUCAUUAAAUUUAGGAAAAAUUAUAUAAAAUAACAAACUAUUAAUUCAAAUUAAAUGAUAUAACCACAGUUUGAUUUAAUUGUAACCUGUAGCAAACAAUUGUCAUUCGCCUCUCGCCCUGAAUUUCUCGCUCGCCACUUUCCAUUUCUCGCUGCCAGUCUCUCCCUCGCCUCUCUCACUUUAUACAAACACAAAUGUAUAAAAUGCGUUUGUGUUUGUAUAAAGCGAGAGAAAACUGUAUAUAUACAUAUCUUUUCGUUCGCCUCUCUCCCCAGAGAAUCUCGCUCGCCUCUCUCACUUUUAUACAAACACAGAUGUAUAAGAGAAGGGAGGGGAACUAGACUCUGCCUCUUCUAUUACAUGUACAUUACAUUACGGAGAAGUCCAUUCUCGUCAUGAUCGAUCCACGUCCUACGCAUUGAAUUUCUAGUAGUAGAUCCAUAAUAAAAAAAAAGUCUUUGUGAUUGUUCCAGAAGAAAUGAAACAAAAGAUAUGGUAGAGCUAGGACGGUUAUUGUAUGAGGUCUACCCAAUGCUAGAUGCAGAGGCACACAAUAGAUCGAUAUGAACAUCAUGAGCUGCCCCGUAAUAAAAAUCAAAAUUGUGUUUGUGUUUAUAUAAAGCGAGAGAAAAUUGUAUAUAAAAAUGCAAAUACAUAUAUUUUCGUCUUAUACACUUAUAAUUAUAUAAAUACAGAAUUUUCCCUGCCCAAUUUUCUUUUGUCUUUCUCUUUUUCUCGCUUUAUACAAUCACAAAUUAUACAAUUGAUUCUUUUGUAUAUGUAUUCCGAAAUAUACAUAUUUAACGCAAUUAUACAAACUAUAGCUAUAGCAUACAAAUAUGAUUUUUAUGUUUGCUAAACCUAAAAUUUACUCAAAAUUUAUCCAACUACUCAUAUAUGGCCAUAUAUAGCUAGUUUAAUUAAUUUCUUGGUCCAUCGCUUUAUUACUUUUAACUUACAUAUUUUUAUUUUUAUUUUAAAAUAAUAAUAGUUGAAGUGGAAUAAUUUCCACGUGGAUCCAAUAAAGUAUAGUAUAUAGGGAAAAAUAAGUCAAUUAAUUGACAACUUCAAUUUGAUUUUUUCUUCAUAUAUAGCAUAGAAUAUAAAAUUGAAAAAGACGAGACAGAAAAAUUUAAGUUGACAAUAAGAUUCUGAAGAUUUAUUGCUAAACUUCCAACCACUAUUGAAAUAGAAAAUAAUAAUAGUAUCUAUAAAUUUUAUAGCUAAAUAGUAAAAUUUAUCGUCGAUUUUAUUUUAUAACAGACUAGUGCAGAAUUAUUAAAAAAUAAUUAGCUAUAAAUACCUUGCAACGAAUUAAUAAUAAAGUUCAUAGUUAAUUUCAAUUUACAUAAAACGACAAACCCAAAAAAGUUCUUUUCCCUUUAAGGGAUCAAUCAUUUUCAAUCACCUCAAUGGAACUUUUACGAAAAAAAACAAAAGGCAUCACGAUAAAGUGCAUAGCGCAUAUAUACUACAAUUGAUGAAAAAAAGAUUUGGUCUUUCAUUACCAAUUCUUUUCAUUUUCGAUUCGGGAUGAGUGGUCGACGUUAGAAUGCGAUGGUUCUUUAAUUAAAAGUCUCGAGUUUAAAUUUUGAUAUAUGAAAAUUCUUGAUAACGAGUGUUUUUUUGUCCAAUGAAGUUGAGGGAUAAAUUUAGAUUAGUCAAACUUCAAUAUAGGUAUCAAACAGAACCAAAAAAAAUCGGCGGUCGACACUUCUUUUUUUUUUUGGAUCGACACAUUUGUUAAUAUUAGUAGUACUUUAAAAAAAGUCGAAUCCAUUGAACAAAGACAACCUAUCUUAUCAAUUAGAAUUUUUUAUUUGAUUUACUUUGGGACUUGUAAAUUUGACUUGUUGUCAAGUACAUUACACAUGAAUGGUUUAUAAUAUUUGCAACUUAUUGACACAAAUAAAGUUCCCAUAAAAAUUAAAAAAACACUAUUAGAAUAUGAUCUUUCACCAAACAAAAAAAAAAAGGUUACCUUUUCUUCAUCAUCAUCAUCAUCAUGUUUUUAAUGAGUUUAAAAUUGAACAAACAAAAAGGAAUUCAAUAUCUUUAUAGACUAACGAUUUUGAAUGUGAUAAUAUUAAUUCAAUUGUCGCUAAAUAUGUUUGCGAAGGAAAGUUUCAAUUGAAAGUAUUCAUCAACUUAUUCAUACAAAUUAAGUCAUAAAGAUAAUCUUGAGAUUAUGUAAGAUUGGUUUAGGAAUUAAUUAAUCUUGAGAAGUCAUACUAUUAAUUAGUUUGAAGCAUAAAAGCAUGCAUGCACUUUUUAUCUUCACUUUAAAAUAAGGGCUAACCCAUCGGUGGCCCCCUAAACUUGGCACGAUCUUUCACUUAGACACCUUAACUAGGCUUUGUUCAUUUUAGACACCUCAUGUCAGGCUCCGUUGUGUCAUUUUGACACUUUUUUCACUAGCACAUGUUGACUUCAAGUGCGUGUUAACCAAGCGCGUCCAUAUGGAUUAGAUGCCCAAUUAUAUCAUGCCAACUCAUUAAAAGACUAUCAUAUUAAAGAGGAAAAAUAAGAAUUAAAAUACAUGACAAAGUAACCAAUGAAUAAAUGACAUGUGGUCUUUUUAUCCCAAAAAAUUAAAUUAAAUAUUUGACAAAUUUAAAGAAAAAUGCAACCCCCACAACAUCCCUAGUCAUCUUCUCCAUUGUAUUACUCCAUUUUUAUUAUUUUUGAGCUUUAUUCUUUCUGUCAUAAACCCACACCCACACAAUCUACUCUAUCAUAUUCCGUCAUUUUCAUUACCUUUUCCGUCACACCCAUAACCACACAGCCAUCUUCCCCGUUUUAUUCCUCUUUUUCAUGAUUUUUUCUGCCAUAUUCCCCAUUCAUUGCACCCUCCCUUAGGGCUAAAAGGUGCAAAUGUAUAACAACAAUGGUUCAUAUUUUAAAGAUUGCGUCUCUUUUUCUUUAAUUUUGUGAUAUUUGCAGUUUAAUUAGGGCUCAAGGUUAGUGAGAUUAACAUUUACAUAGUAAAAAUUGAGAUUUUUUGGCUCCUAUUUUAGGAUUAUUGUGGGUGAACUUUACAUGAUUUAGGGUGUUGUUGAUAUGAGUUCGAUUUCUUGUUUCUUUUUGGGUCUAUCUGAGUUUGUAGUGCGAAAGAAAUAAUGGGAGAAAUAAUGGCAAUAAAAUGGGAAAGAAGAAGAGAAAAAAUAAAAUAAAAUAGACUAAAUAAGUCCCUCACGCGUCAAUAGCAAGUGUAUAACACUCACUUUGCCAUGUCAGCUGAAAGUGUCAAAAUGACACAACGGAGCCUGACAUGAGGUGUCUAAAAUGAACAAAGCCUAGUUAAGGUGUCUAAGUGAAAGAUCGUGCCAAGUUUAGGGGGCCACCGAUGGGUUAGCCCUUAAAAUAAUGUAAUUAAGUUUUAAAUGAGAUAUUCACAAUUAGUUUCCUUCACAAAUUACUCUUUAUUUCUAAUAUAUGUACUAUAUAUCCUCUCAUAUGCAAUUGUCUCCAUCAAUUAAUCUUUUAUAAUAUAUGUGUACGUUUUAUAUCCUCUUAUAUGCAAUUGUUUCCAUCAGUUUAUCGAAAAGUUAGAUAUUUAUACUAUUUUUUGUUGAACGGACAUAAGAGUAAAUGACCAAGAAGCUCUUUUAAAGUACUAUCACAUAAAAAGGCAUCAAUAAAGUCAUCCUCAUGGUAACAAUAUAUUUAGUAUAAUUUUACAAGCAUCAACAAAAAUAAAAUUAUUCUUUCUGUCAAAUAUCGUUACUACUACAACAUGUCAAAUUUAAAUUUCACAAGUGAUACUGUCUGGAGAUCGAUGAUAGGCUAUGCACAUACAUAUCUCUACUUUUGUAAAGUAAAGAGAUACUAUUUCUGAUAGACAUCGACUAAAAAUGACAUAAACAUUCAACCCU